CGAAAGCCUGACGGAGCAAUACCGCGUGAGGGAAGACUGCCUAUGGGUUGUAAACCUCUUUUUUCAGGGAGGAAUAAAUGACGUGUACCCGAAGAAUAAGCAUCGGCUAACCCCGUGCCAGCAGCCGCGGUAAGACGGAGGAUGCAAGUGUUAUCCGGAAUCACUGGGCGUAAAGCGUCUGUAGGUGGCUUAACAAGUCAACUGUUAAAUCUUGAAGCUCAACUUCGAAAUCGCAGUCGAAACUGGUAGGCUAGAGUAUAGUAGGGGUAAAGGGAAUUUCCAGUGGAGCGGUGAAAUGCGUAGAGAUUGGAAAGAACACCGAUGGCGAAGGCACUUUACUGGGCUAUUACUGACACUGAGGGACGAAAGCUAGGGUAGCG
rnacentral:rRNA from 1 species